CCUUGUUGUAUUGCUCUGUUUGCUAUUGUUACUUGUCACACACUCACAACUAUUGAAUCUGCUUAGCUUAAGAAAUGACUUGUAUUCUCACUGAUUCGCAUCACUAGGACUGGUUCGACAUUCACCCCCCUACACUACAACAAUUACAAUAGGCAGAAAAACCUAUUAUCAAUGAUGAUAUUCCUUUUUUUCAAAUUGAGAUCGAAUAAUAUUAGUCCUUGGCGGAUGAUAAUAUUGAGAUCGAAUAAUAUUAGUCCUUUAUAAAUUGAGAUCGAAUAAUAUUAGUCCUUUAUAAAUAAUAAUAUUUAUACCUCUGUCAUUUGAUGUUUUUCAAAUUUGAUGUUUCAAUAUGAAAUAAUGUUUCAAAUUCUUCCUUCUAAGCUCCGCCAAACACUUAGAAAAAAAAACUCAUCCUAUCUCUCUCUUCUCUAACGAUGAUAUUCCUUUUUUUCAAAUUGAGAUCGAAUAAUAUUAGUGGAGGAGGAGACGAUCGGGUUGCUAUUUUGAUACACAAUGCAAAGUUCUACAAAGAACGAAUAACGGAAGUGCAAGACUUCAUCCCUAGGAAAACACCUUCUUGAGACUUCAGGACUUUACCACUCUCUUGAAAUCCCUUAACGCAACCGACGAUCAAAUCUGCUCUUCUUUGGGAAAAAAUAAGCCAAGAUCAGCACAAAUCGAUCCGUUGCGGACCUGAUCUGAUUUUAAACCUUUCUUUUGUUUCAGGGGAAGGGUUGUGUUUACAGCAACCAGAAGCAUUGGUGAAGAUAGUGCCGACUAAAGAAAGAGAGUUGAAGUUGUGUAGCUACAAAGGAGUAGUAGAUAGAUGAGCUUGGCUCUGCUGAGAAAUUUUUGAAGUUGUUUGUGGUAGUAUCAUUUACGUUUCAAAUAGCUGAAGUGGUUCAUCUCAGAAACUCUUUCUCAAUGCUUGAGGUUAUUCAUGAAGUUCUUAGAAGCUGUCCUUAAGACUGGGAACAAGAUGAAUGUAGGAACCAUAUGUGGUGGCGCAAAAAUCCUCAAGUUUAUGCUCUGCUCAAGCUCUCUGAUGUUAAGGGCACUGAUGGGAAGACAACUCAACUCCACUUUGUCAUGCAUGCAGGCAUGUCCUUGCCAUAAGGCAGGUGAAGCACUUGCUUGAUGCCACAUUUUAUAUAGUAAAAAUAAGGUCAUAUUUCAUACAAUGUUUUGGACAAACGAUUACCUUGUUUGACUUUAUGUUAUCAUAUCCUUAUUCCAUUUUUAUCUUAUUCAAUAUACUUCCUAUGC